AUACGUAGGGGGCGAGCGUUGUCCGGAAUGAUUGGGCGUAAAGGGCGCGUAGGCGGCCCGGUAAGUCUGGAGUGAAAGUCCUGUUUUUAAGAUGGGAAUUGCUUUGGAUACUGUCGGGCUUGAGUGCAGGAGAGGUAAGUGGAAUUCCCAGUGUAGCGGUGAAAUGCGUAGAGAUUGGGAGGAACACCAGUGGCGAAGGCGACUUACUGGACUGUAACUGACGCUGAGGCGCGAAAGUGUGGAGAGCAAACAGGAUUAGAUACCCUGGUAGUCCACACUGUAAACGAUGAAUGCUAGGUGUAGGGGGUAUCGACCCCUUCUGUGCCGCAGUCAACACAAUAAGCAUUCCGCCUGGGGAGUACGGCCGCAAGGUUGAAACUCAAAGGAAUUGACGGGG
rnacentral:rRNA from 1 species